rnacentral:lncRNA from 1 species
GUGCAUCGCUGCACUCGAGCGGCCUGUGUCUACGUGGCUGGAGCAGACAGCAGGAGACCUGGGCCCAGGGCGGCAGAGACCCAGGAGAAGAGCGAAGCCGCCGGCGAGUGGGCAGCGAAACACCUCGGCUCUGCAGUGUGGCAGGUUGCGUCUUUGAGCUCACGCUCCGUUCCCGGUAUGUGUUGGCGGCGUGAACAGCGACCGGGCCGCUCACAAAACCACUAAAGGGACCGGAGAUCAGGGUCGGAAGUCGGCAGGAGCAGCUGGAGAUCAGCAGGCAACCAGCAGAGCCCUCCUGCCCAAGGCCUUUCCGAAGGACUGCUCCAGGCUCAAGGGUGAAGACUGAAAGGUGAAAGGUGGCCGUGGAGGGACAAAACCCGUUGCCCCUCUCCCGAACCCCCCGGGGGCCACCGGAGGCUGCUGUGCUUCCUCCGCUC